ACGGAUAACAUACCGAAAGGUAUGCUAAUACGGGAUAAUAUAUUUGAGAGGCAUCUCUUGAAUAUCAAAGGUGAGCCAGUACAGGAUGGACCCGCGUCUGAUUAGCUAGUUGGUAAGGUAAAGGCUUACCAGGGCGACGAUCAGUAGCCGACCUGAGAGGGUGAUCGGCCACAUUGGAACUGAGACACGGUCCAAACUCCUACGGGAGGCAGCAGUGGGGAAUAUUGCACAAUGGGCGAAAGCCUGAUGCAGCAACGCCGCGUGAGUGAUGAAGGCCUUCGGGUCGUAAAACUCUGUCCUCAAGGAAGAUAAUGACGGUACUUGAGGAGGAAGCCCCGGCUAACUACGUGCCAGCAGCCGCGGUAAUACGUAGGGGGCUAGCGUUAUCCGGAUUUACUGGGCGUAAAGGGUGCGUAGGCGGUCUUUCAAGUCAGGAGUGAAAGGCUACGGCUCAACCGUAGUAAGCUCUUGAAACUGGGAGACUUGAGUGCAGGAGAGGAGAGUGGAAUUCCUAGUGUAGCGGUGAAAUGCGUAGAUAUUAGGAGGAACACCAGUUGCGAAGGCGGCUCUCUGGACUGUAACUGACGCUGAGGCACGAAAGCGUGGGGAGCAAACAGGAUUAGAUACCCUGGUAGUCCACGCUGUAAACGAUGAGUACUAGGUGUCGGGGGUUACCCCCUUCGGUGCCGCAG
rnacentral:rRNA from 1 species